GAGCCGGAGGGAAACCGAGUCUUAAUUGGGCGUUAAGUUGCAGGGUAUAGACCCGAAACCCGGUGAUCUAGCCAUGGGCAGGUUGAAGGUUGGGUAACACUAACUGGAGGACCGAACCGACUAAUGUUGAAAAAUUAGCGGAUGACCUGUGGCUGGGGGUGAAAGGCCAAUCAAACCGGGAGAUAGCUGGUUCUCCCCGAAAGCUAUUUAGGUAGCGCCUCGUGAAUUCAUCUCCGGGGGUAGAGCACUGUUUCGGCUAGGGGGCCAUCCCGGCUUACCAACCCGAUGCAAACUGCGAAUACCGGAGAAUGUUAUCACGGGAGACACACGGCGGGUGCUAACGUCCGUCGUGAAGAGGGAAACAACCCAGACCGCCAGCUAAGGUCCCAAAGUCAUGGUUAAGUGGGAAACGAUGUGGGAAGGCCCAGACAGCCAGGAUGUUGGCUUAGAAGCAGCCAUCAUUUAAAGAAAGCGUAAUAGCUCACUGGUCGAGUCGGCCUGCGCGGAAGAUGUAACGGGGCUAAACCAUGCACCGAAGCUGCGGCAGCGACACUCAGGUGUUGUUGGGUAGGGGAGCGUUCUGUAAGCCUGCGAAGGUGGCCUGUGAGGGUUGCUGGAGGUAUCAGAAGUGCGAAUGCUGACAUAAGUAACGAUAAAGCGGGUGAAAAGCCCGCUCGCCGGAAGACCAAGGGUUCCUGUCCAACGUUAAUCGGGGCAGGGUGAGUCGACCCCUAAGGCGAGGCCGAAAGGCGUAGUCGAUGGGAAACGGGUUAAUAUUCCCGUACUUGGUGUUACUGCGAAGGGGGGACGGAGAAGGCUAUGUUGGCCGGGCGACGGUUGUCCCGGUUUAAGCGUGUAGGUGUGUGUUCCAGGUAAAUCCGGUUCACUUUAACACUGAGGCGUGAUGACGAGGCACUACGGUGCUGAAGCAACAAAUGCCCUGCUUCCAGGAAAAGCCUCUAAGCAUCAGGUAACAUCAAAUCGUACCCCAAACCGACACAGGUGGUCAGGUAGAGAAUACCAAGGCGCUUGAGAGAACUCGGGUGAAGGAACUAGGCAAAAUGGUGCCGUAACUUCGGGAGAAGGCACGCUGACACGUAGGUGAAGUGAUUUACUCAUGGAGCUGAAGUCAGUCGAAGAUACCAGCUGGCUGCAACUGUUUAUUAAAAACACAGCACUGUGCAAACACGAAAGUGGACGUAUACGGUGUGACGCCUGCCCGGUGCCGGAAGGUUAAUUGAUGGGGUCAGCGCAAGCGAAGCUCCUGAUCGAAGCCCCGGUAAACGGCGGCCGUAACUAUAACGGUCCUAAGGUAGCGAAAUUCCUUGUCGGGUAAGUUCCGACCUGCACGAAUGGCGUAAUGAUGGCCAGGCUGUCUCCACCCGAGACUCAGUGAAAUUGAACUCGCUGUGAAGAUGCAGUGUACCCGCGGCAAGACGGAAAGACCCCGUGAACCUUUACUAUAGCUUGACACUGAACAUUGAGCCUUGAUGUGUAGGAUAGGUGGGAGGCUUUGAAGUGUGGACGCCAGUCUGCAUGGAGCCGGCCUUGAAAUACCACCCUUUAAUGUUUGAUGUUCUAACGUGGACCCGUGAUCCGGGUUGCGGACAGUGUCUGGUGGGUAGUUUGACUGGGGCGGUCUCCUCCUAAAGAGUAACGGAGGAGCACGAAGGUUGGCUAAUCCUGGUCGGACAUCAGGAGGUUAGUGCAAUGGCAUAAGCCAGCUUGACUGCGAGCGUGACGGCGCGAGCAGGUGCGAAAGCAGGUCAUAGUGAUCCGGUGGUUCUGAAUGGAAGGGCCAUCGCUCAACGGAUAAAAGGUACUCCGGGGAUAACAGGCUGAUACCGCCCAAGAGUUCAUAUCGACGGCGGUGUUUGGCACCUCGAUGUCGGCUCAUCACAUCCUGGGGCUGAAGUAGGUCCCAAGGGUAUGGCUGUUCGCCAUUUAAAGUGGUACGCGAGCUGGGUUUAGAACGUCGUGAGACAGUUCGGUCCCUAUCUGCCGUGGGCGCUGGAGAACUGAGGGGGGCUGCUCCUAGUACGAGAGGACCGGAGUGGACGCAUCACUGGUGUUCGGGUUGUCAUGCCAAUGGCACUGCCCGGUAGCUAAAUGCGGAAGAGAUAAGUGCUGAAAGCAUCUAAGCACGAAACUUGCCCCGAGAUGAGUUCUCCCUGAGACUUAGAGUCUCCUGAAGGAACGUUGAAGACGACGACGUUGAUAGGCCGGGUGUGUAAGCGCAGCGAUGCGUUGAGCUAACCGGUACUAAUGAACCGUGAGGCUUAACCUUACA
rnacentral:rRNA from 1 species